ensembl:lncRNA RMST rhabdomyosarcoma 2 associated transcript
AGAUUCUCAGGAUGAUGGAGUGAGUGAUGGAAUAGGUUGCCAACUGUAGUUACUCCACUCAGCACAGAAUGGCUGCGGGGAAAUAUAAUCAGACAUGCCCAAAGAAGUCUGCUUAGGGUGAAACAAAUACCUUUGAGGUUUAAAUCAGGAAGGAGAGACUGUUUCUACAGGUGUCAUACAAAAAUCAAUACUGAGCCAAGGAUUAUUGGAUCCCAUAGAACCACGGAGACUUGGUAGUGAAAUUCUUCCAAAGCAUUCCAUCCGUGCAGGCAGAUGGUGUUCCUAGGUUUGGAAAUAUAAAUCCCAUGGGAAGUCAGCUGAAGACCAUUUUAUGCAUCACUCAUCCUGUUAGAGCCCUGUGCUGUUCUGUCUCUCUAUAAGACUGGCUGAAACCACCACGGUUGUUUACAAUUUAUGCUCUAACUUUGGAUCACCUAGUUAAUACUCUAACUCCGAUUAUUACCAAAGACAAUGUUCUAUAAAAGAUAUUGUCUAUUAGAAGGAUGCUUCUGCAUUAUUAAUAAAAUCACAGGGAAAAUGCAACAUUUUGGAUGUCACAUCUGAUAAGUUGGCAGUUAAAGAACAGAAACAGCAAUAAGACUGCGUGGCUACAUUUUCCCAGUGCCACCAACUGGGAUUUAAGCUGACUAACAUUUUGAAAGCCCAGCCCAUUUCAUUCACAGCAGGAUGGCAGUGGGUGACUGAUCGUACCCGCCAGCUGGCUAAUGUCAUAAUUAACAAAGUUGCUACUACAUCUGCAAAGUUUAAUCGAAAAAUUUGCCAGUGAUAUGAUGGCCUUGUCACAGAGAUCACAAGGGACACGGAGUUGACUUUUGCUCAAGGUGGAACGACAGAGCUGUGUAGGCAAGAUGAGAAAUUGCGAACUUGUUCGGCCAAAGGAACGACUAUGCUCUGGAGAGUCCUGUAAUUUGCAGAAAAUGGACCAAGAUAACAUUUGAGUUCCAUGCUACCAAAAUCCUCUUGAGAAGGACAGCUAGCUACCCAGAAUAUUUAACAUUGUGACAUUGAAAUGUUGGAUGAACGAUUAAAAUGAAGAAUCUAGUCAUAGGUUGUAAGAAAUCGCUAAAUUAUUAUGUUUAAUCCAAAGAAGAGAAAGGAAAA